GUUCUCUGGAUAGCUCAGUUGGUUAGAGUGUGGUGCCGAUGGUGCUAAGGUUGCCGGUUCAAUCCCUGUAAGGGACA